rnacentral:sRNA from 1 species
GGAUUACGGUGGCGGCCU